UACGUAGGGUGCGAGCGUUAAUCGGAAUUACUGGGCGUAAAGCGUGCGUAGGCGGUUGGCAAAGUCAGCUGUGAAAGCCCCGGGCUUAACCUGGGAAUGGCGGUUGAAACUAGUCGACUCGAAUCUGGCAGAGGGGGGUGGAAUUCCACGUGUAGCAGUGAAAUGCGCAGAUAUCAGGAGGAACACCGGUGGCGAAGGCGGGUCUCUGGGUCGAUACUGACGCUGAGGAGCGAAAGCGUGGGGAGCGAACAGG
rnacentral:rRNA from 1 species